rnacentral:lncRNA from 1 species
GAUUGUAUCACAAUGGAAAUACAGCCAAGGACAACAUGAGUCAUCUCAUACAUAGCGGGAAGAAAGGUGCAAACAGUGCCAAUAAGUUAAGGUAUUGUAAUAAUGUGUACUAGAAUAGAACCUUGGAAUGUUUUAAAGUUAUUGAAGAUGGAGAGCACAAUCAGUAUGCACGACAUCUUUCUCAAAUGGCUACUAGUUUUCUACAAUCUGUUUCAUCAGGUCGGGUUUAAUUUUCAACACAAUUCGGAAUAUUCAAAGAUAAAGUGAAGGAAUAUAGUUAUUGGAUAUUACGUUUUAUUGUGAUCAUUAACAUUCAAACCGGAUUAAAUGUUUAAUAAAAUUGAGAAUACACCCAGACAUAGUGAAAAAAGUAAUUAUUGGCGAUGUUCUAAUCUGACUUAAUUUUCAAUACAAUUCGGAGUAUUUAUACAUAUGUUGAAGGUAUUCGAUCAUUGAUGAUAUUCAAAUCGGAGUCAAUGUUUAAUACAAGUUGGAUUAUGUAAAGCUAUAGUAUAGGAAUAUCAUUAUCGUGCCUUUAUUUUUCCUCAAAGAACACUGUGAGGUUGUAAGGUGGUAGGUACUUCGCACAUUUUAUUGAAUUUUAACUGGUUAUUCAUUUGAUCAUGUAGGUGGACUGAAUCAUCCUCUGUCAUUUUUUAUCAAAUAUAUUUUAAGCAAAUUCUGUGAUAUGCUGGGUAUAAUAUCAGGUGUUGUAA